AGAGUUUGAUCCUGGCUCAGAUUGAACGCUGGCGGCAGGCCUAACACAUGCAAGUCGAGCGGAUGACAGGAGCUUGCUCCUGAAUUCAGCGGCGGACGGGUGAGUAAUGCCUAGGAAUCUGCCUGGUAGUGGGGGACAACGUUUCGAAAGGAACGCUAAUACCGCAUACGUCCUACGGGAGAAAGCAGGGGACCUUCGGGCCUUGCGCUAUCAGAUGAGCCUAGGUCGGAUUAGCUAGUUGGUGAGGUAAUGGCUCACCAAGGCGACGAUCCGUAACUGGUCUGAGAGGAUGAUCAGUCACACUGGAACUGAGACACGGUCCAGACUCCUACGGGAGGCAGCAGUGGGGAAUAUUGGACAAUGGGCGAAAGCCUGAUCCAGCCAUGCCGCGUGUGUGAAGAAGGUCUUCGGAUUGUAAAGCACUUUAAGUUGGGAGGAAGGGUUGUAGAUUAAUACUCUGCAAUUUUGACGUUACCGACAGAAUAAGCACCGGCUAACUCUGUGCCAGCAGCCGCGGUAAUACAGAGGGUGCAAGCGUUAAUCGGAAUUACUGGGCGUAAAGCGCGCGUAGGUGGUUUGUUAAGUUGGAUGUGAAAGCCCCGGGCUCAACCUGGGAACUGCAUUCAAAACUGACAAGCUAGAGUAUGGUAGAGGGUGGUGGAAUUUCCUGUGUAGCGGUGAAAUGCGUAGAUAUAGGAAGGAACACCAGUGGCGAAGGCGACCACCUGGACUGAUACUGACACUGAGGUGCGAAAGCGUGGGGAGCAAACAGGAUUAGAUACCCUGGUAGUCCACGCCGUAAACGAUGUCAACUAGCCGUUGGGAGCCUUGAGCUCUUAGUGGCGCAGCUAACGCAUUAAGUUGACCGCCUGGGGAGUACGGCCGCAAGGUUAAAACUCAAAUGAAUUGACGGGGGCCCGCACAAGCGGUGGAGCAUGUGGUUUAAUUCGAUGCAACGCGAAGAACCUUACCUGGCCUUGACAUCCACGGAAUUCGGCAGAGAUGCCUUAGUGCCUUCGGGAACCGUGAGACAGGUGCUGCAUGGCUGUCGUCAGCUCGUGUUGUGAAAUGUUGGGUUAAGUCCCGCAACGAGCGCAACCCUUAUCCUUUGUUGCCAGCACGUAAUGGUGGGAACUCAAAGGAGACUGCCGGUGAUAAACCGGAGGAAGGUGGGGAUGACGUCAAGUCAUCAUGGCCCUUACGGCCUGGGCUACACACGUGCUACAAUGGUCGGUACAAAGGGUUGCCAAGCCGCGAGGUGGAGCUAAUCCCAUAAAACCGAUCGUAGUCCGGAUCGCAGUCUGCAACUCGACUGCGUGAAGUCGGAAUCGCUAGUAAUCGCGAAUCAGAAUGUCGCGGUGAAUACGUUCCCGGGCCUUGUACACACCGCCCGUCACACCAUGGGAGUGGGUUGCACCAGAAGUAGCUAGUCUAACCUUCGGGAGGACGGUUACCACGGUGUGAUUCAUGACUGGGGUGAAGUCGUAACAAGGUAACC
rnacentral:rRNA from 1 species